GCCGCUGCCGCUUCCCUGCCAGCCGGGGAUGUUGCCAGCAGUGGGCAGGGGCAUUGGGGGGAGGCAUACCCGGCUUCAUCCCGCCGGGUAGGAGCUGGAGGAGGGGUAACUGCCUCUCCCCGGGUGGCAGAUGACCCACAAUUGUGUACAGCCCCUCAGGUGUGAGCUGAACCACAAUUGGGGGCACCUCCUGAGGUGGGAGCUGGCCCACAGUGGGGGGAACCCCCUGAGGUGGGAGCGGGCCCAGAGUUGGGGGUACCCCCUGAAUUGGGAGCGGGCCCACAGUUUGGGGCAUUGCCCCAGCUGGCAGCUGAAGCACAGUUGGGGGCAUUGCCCCAGGUGGUGGGAGCUGAGCCACCGUGGAGGGCAGCCCCUGAGGUGGGAUCAGACCCACCACUGGGGCUACCCCCUGCGGUGGGAGUGGGCCCACAGUUUGGGGUACCCCCUGAGGUGGGAGCUGACCCCCAGUAUAGGGCAUUGCCCCAAGGGGCAGCUCAACCAUAGUUUGGGGCAUUGCCCCAGGUGGCAGCUGAACCACUGCUGGGGCAUUGCCCCAGCUGGCAGUUGAAGCACAGUUUGAGGCAUCGCCCCAGGUGGCAGCUGCGCUCCCUGUCCCUGCACACCCGGUACCCCCGGCUGGACAGAGGCCUGAGGCACCAUGGAGGUGACAUUGGGGGCAGGGAUGGGCUGGAAGGAUACGGGCACUGCUCCGCCAAUGGUGGUCUGCAUCGCAGCAGUGGCCGGUGGGGGCACAAAGGCUCCAAAUAAAAUGGCGUCAGGUGUCGGAAGCACCGUCAGCGAUGAAGGAAUUCUCUCUGUGGGGAAAUGCCCAAAUGGGCGCCGGGGUGAGAUGUGGGGCACUGGGACCCCCUGGAGGGCCGCAGUGCCAGGAGCAGGAGGAGCCUGCUGCCUUACCUGCCGUGGCAGCUCGAGAGUGGCAGUGGGGGGUUCCGUGAGCGCUGGGGUCAGCCCCUCUGCCCUGAGCUCACAGUGCCCCUCUGUGACGCUGUCCCGUGGUGUCACAGGCACUGCUCUGUGCCUGCCAUGUCAUCAACUUGCUGUGCCUGCCAUCGUGGUGAUAGCCUCCCACUGUUUCAAGGGAGAUGAUAAACAGGAGGAAAAUGAACUUUUCUUGUGGGGAGAUGGGACAAAGGGGAAUGGUUUUAAUGUAAAGGAGGGGGAUUUGGGUUAGAUGUGGGGGAAGGUGUUCACAGAGGGAGCUGAGGCCCUGCACUGCUGCCCAGAGAGGCCGUGUGUGCCCCAUCCCUGCGGGUGCACCCAACCCAGCUCCCAUUGCAGUGAAUGGAGACGAAGGGAGGGACGUGGCUGAUGACCGUCAAAGUCCCGGUGGCAUCCCAGGGCUGCGGUGCUUUGAGCCUGGAAAGCCACCAAACGUCCACCUGCCCGCUGUGUCCCUUCACACACCCGUCUGUCACAGCAGCACAGGGGCUGGGAGGGAUCUCUGGGAGGUCCUCCAGAGGUUUUCCCGCCCCUCGCCGCCAGGGGGCGCUGCGGUCGCAGCCAUCCCCGCUCCUUCCUGAUGACGUCACGCAGACGGUAGCCGCGCCAGG
ensembl:lncRNA